rnacentral:lncRNA from 1 species
CGGGAAUCAGAUGUUCCGUCUGUGCUCGCUUUAGUAAACAACGCGGCCUCGCGUGAUUAUCAGCGCGUCUCUAAUUUCGGUGUUUUUUUCGUCUGCCAAUUCAUUCGGGGUGUUAGAAAAGUGCGAAUCUUUAACUCCUAUCAUCGUUGAGGGUCAAUCGGUGUAAUCGGAAAGUUCAGCACCUUUCUCAUCCGCGGAGUACACUGCGCAUGACGGAUUUCAAAGUUGCAAUGUUUCGGUUUUUCAAGAUCGAGAUCAACACUGUUGUUAAAGGUUUUAAGUGGUUACGUUAGUGUGGUGUUUGGAAUUAUUACGCUUCUCAUCGUCUCUUAUCGUCUUCAACACUUCAGAGAGGAUUUCUAAUCAAAGGUAAGAAACUCAUAAAAUUCUCCAAUUCUAUUACUUUUAAAUUGCUCAGAGGAAGGCUGGUAAGUCAAAUCAUCGCUUUUAUUUUAGUUUAGAGAGACUGAGACAUGAUACAACCCCGGAGAGUCUAGAUUUGUCAUUCACGAGAAAAAACAAGAAGAACAAUUGAGGAGCUUUCCGGAAAAAGGGCACAUAGCAAAAAAUUGCGUUUGAGAGAAAUGCAUUUGAAGAUUUGAUCAUUACUCUAUGGCCACUGACAGUGACUUUUGUUCGAAAUCGGGAGUUCAAGCUGCGAUGAAAGGUACCAUCAGUGGCCAGAA